rnacentral:rRNA from 1 species
UACAGAGGGUGCAAACGUUGCUCGGAAUCAUUGGGCGUAAAGCGCACGUAGGCGGCCUGAUAAGUCGGGUGUGAAAGCCCUGGGCUCAACCCAGGAAGUGCACUCGAAACUGUCAGGCUUGAAUAUGGAAGAGGGUCGCGGAAUUCCCGGUGUAGAGGUGAAAUUCGUAGAUAUCGGGAGGAACACCAGUGGCGAAGGCGGCGACCUGGGCCAAUAUUGACGCUGAGGUGCGAAAGCGUGGGGAGCAAACAGG